AGAGUUUGAUCCUGGCUCAGGAUGAACGCUGGCGGCGUGCCUAAUACAUGCAAGUCGAGCGAAUGGAUUAAGAGCUUGCUCUUAUGAAGUUAGCGGCGGACGGGUGAGUAACACGUGGGUAACCUGCCCAUAAGACUGGGAUAACUCCGGGAAACCGGGGCUAAUACCGGAUAACAUUUUGAACUGCAUGGUUCGAAAUUGAAAGGCGGCUUCGGCUGUCACUUAUGGAUGGACCCGCGUCGCAUUAGCUAGUUGGUGAGGUAAUGGCUCACCAAGGCAACGAUGCGUAGCCGACCUGAGAGGGUGAUCGGCCACACUGGGACUGAGACACGGCCCAGACUCCUACGGGAGGCAGCAGUAGGGAAUCUUCCGCAAUGGACGAAAGUCUGACGGAGCAACGCCGCGUGAGUGAUGAAGGCUUUCGGGUCGUAAAACUCUGUUGUUAGGGAAGAACAAGUGCUAGUUGAAUAAGCUGGCACCUUGACGGUACCUAACCAGAAAGCCACGGCUAACUACGUGCCAGCAGCCGCGGUAAUACGUAGGUGGCAAGCGUUAUCCGGAAUUAUUGGGCGUAAAGCGCGCGCAGGUGGUUUCUUAAGUCUGAUGUGAAAGCCCACGGCUCAACCGUGGAGGGUCAUUGGAAACUGGGAGACUUGAGUGCAGAAGAGGAAAGUGGAAUUCCAUGUGUAGCGGUGAAAUGCGUAGAGAUAUGGAGGAACACCAGUGGCGAAGCGACUUUCUGGUCUGUAACUGACACUGAGGCGCGAAAGCGUGGGGAGCAAACAGGAUUAGAUACCCUG
rnacentral:rRNA from 1 species